rnacentral:rRNA from 1 species
GACGUAAGGCGCGAGCGUUGUCCGGAUUUAUUGGGCGUAAAGAGCUCGUAGGCGGCUUGUCGCGUCGACUGUGAAAACCCGUGGCUCAACCAUGUGGUCUGCAGUCGAUACGGGCAGGCUAGAAUUCGGUAGGGGAGACUGGAAUUCCUGGUGUAGCGGUGAAAUGCGCAGAUAUCAGGAGGAACACCGGUGGCGAAGGCGGGUCUCUGGGCCGAUAUUGACGCUGAGGAGCGAAAGCGUGGGGAGCGAACAGG